rnacentral:misc_RNA from 1 species
GAUGAAGGAACGUAGCGAAAUGCGAUAAGUAAUGUGAAUUGCAGAAUUCAGUGAAUCAUCGAAUCUUUGAACGCAUCUUGCGCUCCUUGGUAUUCCUUGGAGCAUGCCUGUUUGAGUAUCAUGAGCAAAUCUCAAAGUCAAUUCCUUUUGUUGAUUCAAUUGGUUUUGCUUUGGACUUGGAGGCCUUGCAGAUUUCACAGUCUGCUCCUCUUAAAUGCAUUAGCUGGAUCUCAGUAAUUAUGCUUGGUUCCACUCGGCGUGAUAAGUAUCACUCGCUGAGGACACUGUUAAAAAGGUGGCCAGGAAAAUACUGAUUGAACCGCUUCUAACGGUCUAUUAAGUUAGACAAUUACCCUUAAGUUUGAUCUCAAAUCAGGUAGGACUACCCGCUGAACUUAAGCAUAUCAAUAAGCGGAGGA